rnacentral:rRNA from 1 species
CAGCAGUCGCCGCGGUAAUACGAAGGGUGCGAGCGUUACUCGGAAUUACUGGGCGUAAAGCGUGCGUAGGUGGUGGUUUAAGUCCGUUGUGAAAGCCCUGGGCUCAACCUGGGAAUUGCAGUGGAUACUGGGUCACUAGAGUGUGGUAGAGGAUAGUGGAAUUUCCGGUGUAGCAGUGAAAUGCGUAGAGAUCGGAAGGAACAUCUGUGGCGAAGGCGACUAUCUGGGCCAACACUGACACUGAGGCACGAAAGCGUGGGGAGCAAACAGGAUUAGAUACCCCCGUAGUCCCUGUCUCUUAUAU